GGCUUCAUACGGGGGUGGUCCGGCGGUUGGCUGUGUUGGAAUGGAGAGAGUCUUUGUUCUCCUUCUGGAUACAGUUGUGGACUUGGAGGAAGCUGUUGUCCCUGUCGGAGUUGUAGGUGGCGGUGGGCGUGGUGGCGGCCUUCAGGGGGUCCCUGCUGAGGGGGUACAUGGAGAUCUCCGUGGACGGCAGGGUGUUGAAGCCCUUGAUGCCCACGGGGGAGGCGUCCCUGGAGCGCGAGGGCUCGGUGGAGCGGGAGCUGGAGCGGCUGCGGCGCUGGUAGCGGUAACGGUAGCUGGGGAUGCGGGUGAUGGCGGAGGCCUGGAGGUAGUCCGUGGCGCGGGCCGUGGCCCGCAGCUGUUUGUGCCGGUCGAUAAACAUGUGCACGGCCAGCACCCCAACCAUCUCGGCAAUGAUGAAGGACAGGGCCCCGAAGUAGAAGGACCAGCCGUAUGAGUCAGUGUCAAAGACACAGUAGGUCCCCAGUAUGGGCUUGCUGAGUGCAUAAAGGUGGUGAGGAGGUCCAGAAAGAGGAAGAAGCAGACAUGUUGCCAAGAAAAGAAAAAGUAAAAAACAAAAAACAAAAUACGCCUCCAGGAUAAGGUAAGGCUCCGGCUGUGGUCCCCCCACUCCCACCACCACUAGGAGGAUGCAUUUUUCCCCUCUUGCAUCUCCUGAGGCCAGCGGUUUCUCCAAGGGUCCUCCCCACCAGGCUGGGCUGUGCCUGGGGCCAGGGCUGCAGCACCGUGAUCUCCCAGCACCGAGCACAGGCUCCACACGGUGUCAGCCUGCCUUUGUGCCACUGCUCUGCUCCUGCAAGAGCCUGGACCCGGCAACGGGGAAUGAGAACCCAACCCGUCUUUCAGGAAUUCCAUUUAAGAGCAUUCGGAAAUUCAUAAACGGAAAUGAUGAGCAUUGUAAGAUAUUUUCUCUCCCUUUAAAAAGACAUCUAUAAAUGA